rnacentral:rRNA from 1 species
AGUGAACGCUGGCGGUAGGCCUAACACAUGCAAGUCGAACGGCAGCACAGUAAGAGCUUGCUCUUACGGGUGGCGAGUGGCGGACGGGUGAGGAAUACAUCGGAAUCUACUUUUUCGUGGGGGAUAACGUAGGGAAACUUACGCUAAUACCGCAUACGACCUACGGGUGAAAGCAGGGGAUCUUCGGACCUUGCGCGAUUGAAUGAGCCGAUGUCGGAUUAGCUAGUUGGCGGGGUAAAGGCCCACCAAGGCGACGAUCCGCAGCUGGUCUGAGAGGAUGAUCGGCCACACUGGAACGGAGACACGGUCCAGACUCCUACGGGAGGCAGCAGUGGGGAAUAUUGGACAAUGGGGGCAAGCCUGAUCCAGCCAUACCGCGUGGGUGAAGAAGGCCUUCGGGUUGUAAAGCCCUUUUGUUGGGAAAGAAAAGCAGCAGGUUAAUACCCCGCUGUUCUGACGGUACCCAAAGAAUAAGCACCGGCUAACUUCGUG